AUAUCUAGGCAGUGGAUCACUUUGCUGGUGCGUCGAUGAAGAGCGCAGCCAGCUGCGUGAAUUAAUGUGAAUUGACAUCUUGAACGCACAUUGCGGCUUUGGGUCACUCCCAGAGCCACGCCUGUCUGAGGGUUG
rnacentral:rRNA from 1 species